rnacentral:rRNA from 1 species
UGUACAGAUGGGGCAUCCCGUUUGUACCAAAGGAGCAAUCCGCUGAAAGAUGGGCUCAUAUCUGAUUAGUUAGUUGGCAGGGCAACGGCCUACCAAGACUGCGAUCAGUAGCCGGACUGAGAGGUUGAACGGCCACAUUGGGACUGAGAUACGGCCCAGACUCCUACGGGAGGCAGCAGUGGGGAAUAUUGGGCAAUGGGCGAAAGCCUGACCCAGCAACGCCGCGUGAAGGAAGAAGGUCUUCGGAUUGUAAACUUCUUUUAUGAGGGACGAAGGACGUGACGGUACCUCAUGAAUAAGCCACGGCUAACUACGUGCCAGCAGCCGCGGUAAUACGUAGGUGGCAAGCGUUAUCCGGAUUUACUGGGUGUAAAGGGCGCGUAGGCGGGGAGACAAGUCAGGUGUGAAAUCUAUGGGCUUAACCCAUAAACUGCACUUGAAACUGUAACUCUUGAGUGCUGGAGAGGUAGAUGGAAUUCCUUGUGUAGCGGUGAAAUGCGUAGAUAUAAGGAAGAACACCAGUGGCGAAGGCGAUCUACUGGACAGUAACUGACGCUGAGGCGCGAAAGCGUGGGGAGCAAACAGGAUUAGAUACCCUGGUAGUCCACGCUGUAAACGAUGAAUACUAGGUGUGGGGGGACUGACCCCCUCCGUGCCGCAGUUAACACAAUAAGUAUUCCACCUGGGGAGUACGGCCGCA